CCUACGGGAGGCAGCAGUGAGGAAUAUUGGUCAAUGGACGCAAGUCUGAACCAGCCAUGCCGCGUGCAGGAAGACGGCUCUAUGAGUUGUAAACUGCUUUUGUACGAGGGUAAACUCAGAUACGCGUAUCUGUUUGAAAGUAUCGCACGAAUAAGGAUCGGCUAAAUCCGUGCCAGCAGCCGCGGUAAUACGGAGGAUUCAAGCGUUAUCCGGAUUUAUUGGGUUUAAAGGGUGCGUAGGCGGUCGGAUAAGUUAGAGGUGAAAUCCCGAGGCUCAACUUUGGAAUUGCCUCUGAUACUGGUCGGCUAGAGAGUAGUUGCGGUAGGCGGAAUGUAUGGUGUAGCGGUGAAAUGCUUAGAGAUCAUACAGAACACCGAUUGCGAAGGCAGCUUACCAAGCUACUUCUGACGUUGAGGCACGAAAGCGUGGGGAGCAAACAGGAUUAGAUACCCGUGUAGUC
rnacentral:rRNA from 1 species